GGGCGAGUGGCGGAAUGGUAUACGCGCAUGGUUUAGGACCAUGUCCCGCAAGGGGUGAGAGUUCAAGUCUCUCCUCGCCCA
rnacentral:tRNA from 1 species